UUGUUGACAAGUUAAUAUUUUCAAACUAUAGCGUUCAAUGAAAAAGUCACAAAACAGUUUGUGCAAUAUGAUAACGAUAAAAAUGUAAAUAAGUAGUUCUCAAUUGCCCGUUAACUUUAGUUUGGUCAAAUGUAGUCUAGUCUAAGGGUAAAUUCUUUUUGAAGCUCAAGUGAAAAUGCCUAUCCAAAUGUAAGCUUAACUAACACUGACAUCCAAGCUAAGCUACCAGGACUGCAUGCAAAUAUAAAACUCAGAGAUGAUCCUGGCAUAAAAAGAAAUGCCUGUUCUGGGACCUUAAAAUUAGGCUUCUUAAUGAAAUUAACAGCUGUUUGAAAAACAUCUCUCUGCUUGUUUACAAAGAUCACAAGCUUUGCCAGGGUAUCUCAGGAUUGUUUUAAGCGUCCCCAGGGAUCCUGGGAGCCCCAUAUUGCUUUUCUCAUUUAGACGCUUACCCAGUGGUUGGAAGAAUCCAAGCAAGAUGCUUUCAGCUAAACAUUGCAGUGUCCUCGGCAAAAAGGAGGGCCAGUGUUAGCUCUGUGACAAUUCCCUGUUUUCCCAAACCAUGAAUCAGCCCCAUUGUCUCACCCGCCUCUGUGCAUCAUUCAUUCUGUUCAUCCCAGCUAACGGCAAAGGCAGGAACAUGGCAGAGAAACUAAAACUCCUAUUUAAUUCUGCUGGUAAAGAGAGUCAGGAUUUCUCAUGGGCUGCUUUGGAGAAAUGUCUGGAAAUGUGUCAGAAAGCUGAUUUUAUGGAAGGUUCAUUUAUUUACAGUAAACUUAAAUGUACUAUAAAUUCCUAAUUUACAAACAAAUACCUGGCAAUUGACCAGCAUUUUUCAUCCGAAGGUAAGAAGCCUCCAAAUGUGAAUAUAUAAGCAUUUUCUGGCACGAUAUCAUGUCAGUUUUUUUCCUCCCCUCCUCCACUGCCUUUUCUUCCUCCCAGUUUCUCCUCUCUGCUCCUUCCCAGCUGGAAACAAAUGAUAGUUUAACCUGGAUAAUACCCUCCCUUGUUCACUUUGUAUAGCUAAUGUUCACUCAGCUGGCCUAAACCUUUCAUGCGAUUUAUUUUAUAAGGAACAGAAGAGGGGAGGAUUCCGUCUCUGGCUCACAGCACCCAUUGCCAAGAAAGUCAGCUCUGCUUCUCAGUCCCCAUGGGCUGGGUCCAAGACUUGUCUUUCUACUCCAUGAUAACUCUUUUUACCUCUAUUGUGAUGAAGAGAUGGAGAGUAGCUGGGUGCUUUGCCCAAGAUGACAAAGCAUUCAGUGAGAGCAUCAGGAUUGAAACCCAGGUCUUCUGCAAUCAGUGCUAUUUUCUUGUUUUUUUUUCUUGUUUUUUUUUGUUUGUUUGUUUGUUUUGGCG
rnacentral:lncRNA from 10 species